GAAACUUGCAUCAACUCUGUAAAUUGCUUAAUAAACAUAGUGAUGAAAGAGUAAUGAAUCCAAAAGCUAAUGAAGCAGAUUCUUGCUUAAUAACAGCUACAUAUAAAUAUUGUGUAGUUUUCAUCAAUGGCAUCAACGUAUAUUCAUGAUUCUCUGUAUAUUUUGUCUACUAAUAUUGUAAGCUUGAGACAAGCAUUUACAGAGAUGAUGAUCAAGCAAACUAAGAUUCUUCGUAGGUAAAAUCAGUUUCAUAGACAUGAAUUAGUAGAGAAUCUGAAGCUUUACACAAGCAUAUCGUUAAUGAUGAACUAAUGAUGUUUGUUCCAAGAACUAAGAUUCUUCAUAGGUAUAAUUAGUUCUCCCAAAUUCACCACUCCAAACCCUGAUUUCUGCCCUAAUUUCGAAUUUCCUAAAUACCAACUUCGAAAAACUAAUCAAUCCAGCGUGAAUCUAAAAUCGA